GGGAGUGCAACAGGCUGGUCCCUCCAGCCGGCUGCUGCGGGAGAGCGGGGCGAGGAGGGCAGAGGGGGAUCCGCUUGCAAACGAGCAGGGCCAGCGGAGAGCCGCCCCUCCUGGCCAGGCGGCUGGUUGCUGAAGGAGUUGCUGGCUGGCUGCGAGACCUCUCUCCGUAGCAAGCAGGUUUUGAAUACUCUCUCCGGACAAUUAUCAUGGUUAGCUGAAGAGAACAGCUAUUUAUGCACUUAAAGACAGUACUUGAAAUGGCUGUGAAUUUCAUUUCAACAGAGAAGAGUAGGGUGGCUGGAAAUAAAGAAAUGAGGAUGAACACAAAAGUGCCUCAGAAGAGAAGGGUGGAAGAACCAUAAGUGCAGUUCAGAACAAGAAGAGAAGCUGAAGCAGGAGUAGGACAGUGCCAAAUAUGAUCCAAGAUUAGCAUUACCCCCAGAAUUUGUUAUUGGUUUGCUUUAUGUAGUUGGGGAUUCCCCCCCCCCCACCCUCCCCCACUGUCUUAGUGGCAAAUACAAUUUUUACCACGCAAAAGAGAAUCUGCAGUCCCUCACAGUUCCCUUCCUCUCUGCAUGUGAGAGUUAAACAAGACACUGCUGCAUUUCUGACUGCACUGGAGAAUUUAUUGUGCUCUGUAGCCUCUCCCUAACUUUAUAUUUUCAAGGAUGGCUUUUGCUAAUGUUGACUGCAUCCUCUCAGCCUCAGCAUCUCCAAAGUCAAACAAUCACUAACCAUAUUCCUGGAGCUGUUCUUAGCUUAACUCAUUGGAAACCACAAUGACUCGCCCCCUGCAGUCGCUUCCCUAUUUUCCCCAGGUCACAGGAGUUCUGGAGGAGUUUGACCAUAGCUCUUCCUUGGCCAAGUUCAUGUCAAUCUACCAAGCAGCCAACAGGACAGCCUUCAACUGGACAGACAGCAGGAUUGUUGAGUGGGAGAAGUUUGCUGAGUUGGCCAAGUAUGAACCAGAAUCUCAGAAACCCACAGUGAAAGCUCUUCUAAUUGUGGCAUACUCAGUUAUUAUCAUCAUGUCCCUCUUUGGCAACAUGCUGGUCUGCCACGUGGUGAUCAAGAACAAGAGGAUGCACUCGGCCACCAGCCUCUUCAUCAUCAAUCUGGCAGUGUCUGAUAUUAUGAUCACCCUGCUCAACACUCCUUUCACUCUGGUUCGGUUUGUGAACAGCACGUGGGUCUUUGGAAAGGCCAUGUGUCAUAUCAGCCGCUUUGUGCAGUACUGCUCUCUUCACGUCUCCACGCUCACCCUGACAGCCAUAGCCCUGGACCGACAUCAGGUCAUUCUGAACCCACUAAAGCAAAGGAUGUCACUAACAAGAGGAGCACUUAGCAUUUCUGUUAUCUGGCUGAUGGCAGCCUGCUUCUCCCUGCCCCACGCCAUCUAUCAGAAGCUUUUCCAGUACAACUACCGGGAAGCUACUGUCCGAAGUCUGUGUCUUCCUGAUUUUCCUGAGCCUGCAGAGCUGGUGUGGAAAUACUUAGACCUUUCCACCUUCCUCCUCCUCUACCUCUUGCCUCUUCUAAUCAUCACCAUCACAUACACGCGCCUCGCCAAGAAGCUGUGGCUGCGCAAUGCCAUUGGGGACAUCACUACGCAGCAGUACAUCACCCACCACAAGAACAAGAAGAAGAGCAUCAAGAUGCUGAUGUUGGUUGUGGUGGUCUUUGCUGUCUGCUGGUUUCCACUCAACUGUUAUGUGGUGCUCAUCUCCAGCCUUGGCAUUAAGACCAAGAACUCCCUCUAUUUCGCUCUGCACUGGUUUGCCAUGAGCAGCACUUGUUACAAUCCCUUCAUUUACUGCUGGCUGAACGAGAGCUUCCGCUCAGAGCUCAAGUCCUUACUCAGUGUGUGCCAGAAGGUGCCACAAACACAGGACAACGUGUUGCCAGCUGUGAUCAUGGCCUAUCGAGAGGCAUGGAUAGAGCAAGCCAGGUACAAGCAGAGGCCUUUCUCACAGAGCAUUCGUUCUACCACAAAUGUACAGACAGUCAACACGGAUUUGUGAGGUGGAGAAUCAAGAAUGGUACACUCAGAACUGGACACAGUACUCCAAAUGAGACCUCAUCAAGGCUGAGUAGAGCAAGACAAUUACCUCCUGUACAACACUGCUGAUAACAUAGUGUGAUAUCAGCCUUCUUUGCAACUAGGUCACAUUGACUCAUUGGGUUAAUGGAUUCUUCCUAAAGGGGAGAGGGGAAUGAGGCCCCACCUCCUCCUCUUCCUCCAAGGCCAUGCCCCACGUGCAAGCCAGAAGCCAGAGCCAGAACAGAGAGCCCAGGCUCCUCCAUCUGCUGGGGCAAGGUGGCCCGAGAGCCGCUCCUAGCCCAUAUCUGCAGCUCCCCUCAGAUGCACAUGUGGCUUUUACCCCACUCGGGCUUCUGACCUUGCCUGAGGGUGGGGUAUUGGGGGCUGAAGAGCCACAUUCAUGCCAUAGUUAGAGCCAUGUAGGCAACUGUGGGGAGCUGUUGACCCUUCAUCUGUCCCAGCCCAGGGGGCAAGGACAUAGGCCAGGUGGGUGGAGAGGCCUGGCUUAGCUCCAGCUUCAUUGAGGGGGUGGGGUGUCAAGGCCUCAAGAAUAAGAGGAGUGGCAGGGGACUCGCCUGUGACAAAAAGUGGGAGAUCGUGGCCCCUCCCCCCACUCCGACACCCCUCCCUCAAGCUUAUCCAUCAGCCAAUUGAUGGUAAUACUAAACAACUUUGGUGCCAGCGCACAGCCUUGCAAAACGCCUGUGGAAAUUGGAAUCUAUGCAUGACCUCGCUAUGUCACUGUCCUGACAAAAGAACAUUAUAUGCUGGGGUUUUUUGUGUCUGAUGAUCCCUAUGCACCUUGAAAGCUACCAGAAAUAUGCAUAUUACAGGGAUAAGUUCACCCACAACUGAGGUCCAGCCACCUCUGUGAAGGAACAUGGCAGUUGCUUAACAUCUAAGAACACCACAGCCAACAAGUUAUACCGGAAAGUAAGGAAGGAUCUAUUUGAAAUGAAGAGAAAAUUAGGUGACUUGAGCUAGAACUUCACCAGGAUACCAAUGCAACAGUGAAUUGAAGACAGGAGUAGAUAUCAAGGAUCCCUAAGCAGCUCUGGCACUAACUUGCUGUGUGGCUUUGGGCAUUACCUCCAAUAAGGUUCCACCGGUGUACCCGAAGAGGACAGUUUACCCCAGCAAUGAGUAUUUACUUCAAAAGUUUGUUGAUGAUGCCAAAUGGAAUCCAAGCCAUGUAGGAAAUUGGGCAGAUGCUGGGAUUUUCACUCCAACUCUUGUGGAAAGUGCACAGGUCAUUUAAUAACUGCAAAUAGCUAAAUGGAAUCCUGCAGCCAGUUCUCAGAGUCAACGCUUUAAGAAAGAGGUUGAAAUGAUAGAAAGAAGAAAGUGCAGAGAAGAUCCACACAAAUAAUUUGACGUUAGGAAAAAAUGCUCUUCUGCAUGAUUCGUGGCAUUAAAUCACUUUGGCUAACAAAAAAAGGAACAAGCAAUGAGCUGAUGAAUGUAUUAGCACCUGCAGGGGAAGAAACAGAUAUUAAAGGUUCUUUAAUCUAGUGGGGGAAGGCAUAAUAAGGCCAAUAGCUAGAAGUUAAAGCUAGCUCCACUCAAAUAUUAAUAGAAAGGGUGAUUAAUCAUUGGAACAAACUGCAAGGGAAGUGCAGAUUCUCCAUCUCUUGAAAUCUUUGCAUCAAGGCUGGCUGCCUUUAAGGGGGCUAUGCCUCUGUCAAACUCCAGUUAUUGGUCUCAAUAAUGGAUGAAAUUCUAUGGUCUGUGUCAUACAGGCAGUCAGACUAGAGACUCUCAUGGUCCCUUCUGGCCUUCACAUCUCUCAAUCCAGCUCGCUCUUCCAGCACAUUGGGCUUUGCAUAUGUAGCAAGAGUAAAAGCAGACAGAACGGAUUUUGGCAGCACUAGCACAUAUAAUGUAGAACACACACAGUGAGCAGGUCCAUGCACCAUGGGUCAUAGUUGCAUGGCAACUACUCAGAUUAGCUCUACACUUUAACAUUAGGUCCUAUUUUAUUUGUCAUUGUUUGGGAAUUUUUUUUUAUAACAACAUUAAUUGAAGGAAUGAAUUUACAAUGGCACUAAGAGAGAGGCCAGGAAUAUUUUCUCAGGACUGGAUCAUUUAUUAACUCAGGCCCGCCGACAACUGGGGGGGACAACUGCGCCAGGGCUCAGCAAUUCAAAAGGGGCCUGGGGCUCCUGGACACCACUGCCGCUACUCUAAAUCACGCUGGAGCCCCAGGCAGCAUGAGGGCAAUCUGCAAUGGAGUAAGUGUGGCAUGCUCCAGGCAGCAUUGAGGCUGCCUAGGGAAAGCUAGUCUCAGCACCAUCCUUUUGGUCCAAGGCCCUGCCCCGCUCCCCUGGCCACUGAGGCACCUGGCGAGUCUUUCAGCCCCACGGUAUUAACGUAACAGUUACAUUGCUCUGUAGCAGUGGUUCUCAAAGUGAGGUCCAUGGACCACUAAUGGUCCACAGGCGUGGGGUUUGCCCUCCUCCCCCACAACAAGGAGCCUGCGCUGGCAACCCAGCCCUGCAGCCACCUACGAGGUGCUAGCUUCCCACUGUGGGGGAAGGAUGGGCAUGAGCUUUGCAGGCCAACUCCAGCUUGUGGGGGGAAGAAGUGGCUCCACACGCUGCAGUUCCUCCUCCCCCCGGCUGGGGGAAUGGCAGCACAGGAAACAGUUCAUCAUCUGGAGGCUUGCCCCCCUGCUCCGAUUGACUGGAAUCACCACCAGUGGAAGCCGCAAGGGGCCGUGCCUGGGAGCAGUGGGAGACAUGGAACCAGGAUGAAUGAAUUUUGCAUCUCUGGUGGGAAGUAUCAUGUCAAGCACCACCUAAUGGACGUGCAGGAGAGAACAAAGAGCAAAAUUAAAUAUUUUAUCAUGAUGAGGAGAGGAAGGAAGAGAGUCUAAAAAGAUACACCAUUUGGGAGGAGAAAUAGAUGGAAGAAAAAGAGCAAGGGAUUUCCUUCAAAAGUUCUCCUCACUUCCUCCUCUGAUUUUUUGGCACCUUUUCACAAAUCACAAUUAAACUAUUUAGAACUUUCUAAAAGUGUUUGAUAGGAGCCGUACAGGAAGCAGAUGUUUCUCCCUUUUCUUACUUUUAACCUUCAUAUUUCCAGUAAGGGUCUUGUGCUUGUCUGAGUUAUUGAUCUAUCCAGAUGUGAAGAGGUUGUUUUUUGUUGUUUUGUUUUUCUUCAAAUAAAUCAGUGGUGGAGAUGAAAACAUUAGGAUACCAUCUGUUCUACAGAGACUGUAAUUCCUCCAGGAAGAUGGACUUUACUGCAUCUCCCUGACAUCAUGACUAUGUGCUGCUUCCUAAUUACCUCUUGGUCACUGGUGCAUAAUGGCAUGGGGCUUCUGGCACAGAAAAACCCAGCUGAUACUCAGUGUUCCUGGAAAUAUCUGGGUUUUUUAGUUAAUAACUAAACUAUGUUCCUUGUUGGUCAAAUUGUGCACAGAAAACAGGCUUAAGAGUAAAUAGAAAGUUUGUAUGCGUUAUGUAAAAUGAAUAAAAAGAUGUCA